UACGACUACAUAUCAGGCAUAUCAAUAAGCGGAGGAAAAGAAACUAACUAGGAUUCCCUUAGUAACGGCGAGUGAAGCGGGAAGAGCUCAAAUUUGAAAUCUUCAAGGUUUACCUUGACGAAUUGUAGUUUAAAGAAGUGUUUUCUGUUGGAGUUUUCGGUAAAAGUUCUUUGGAAUAGGACAUCAUAGAGGGUGAGAAUCCCGUAUUUGACCGUUACUUUCCAGCUGUGUGAUACACUUUCAAAGAGUCGGAUUGUUUGGGAAUGCAGUCCAAAAUGGGUGGUAAAUUUCAUCUAAAGCUAAAUAUUGGCGAGAGACCGAUAGCGAACAAGUACCGUGAGGGAAAGAUGAAAAGAACUUUGAAAAGAGAGUUAAACAGUACGUGAAAUUGUCAAAAGGGAAGCGUUUGACACCAGUGUUGUUUAGUUCGAAAAUCAAUUAAAAAUGGCGGGAUUUUGUGUUGUAUUGACUUUAUCAGCUUUCUGCACUUUUUUCAUGUCUUUUUUAAUGCACUUUUCGUUUAACAAGUCAACAUCAGUUUCUUUUGUUGUAAAAAGGUCAUUGGAAGGUGGCUUUCUUUUCGGAGAAAGUGUUUAUAGCCUUUGACUUCUGCAAUCGGAGAGAUUGAGGUCUGCAGCGUAGAUCCUUCGGGGUUAGAUACAUUUGUGCCAAGUUAUAGUUUUUCAUAGACAACAUGUUGACUAUGAUUAAUCAUGUAGCUUACUCGCUUAUGCUAUUUUACCUACGCUUAGGAUGUUGACGCGCGUGUGUGCGUG
rnacentral:rRNA from 1 species